rnacentral:rRNA from 1 species
ACGUAGUUUGAUCAGUGGCCUCGAGGAUAGACGCUGGCGGCGCGCCUAACACAUGCAAGUCGAACGGAGUUAUCUUAUUAGAUCCCGUUCGGGGUGAAGUAUUUUUUUAACUUAGUGGCGAACGGGUGAGUAACGCGUGAGUAACCUGCCUUCAAGAGGGGGACAACAGUUGGAAACGACUGCUAAUACCGCAUAACAUAUCGAAAUCGCAUGAUUUUGAUAUCAAAGGAGCAAUCCGCUUGAAGAUGGACUCGCGUCUGAUUAGAUAGUUGGUGGGGUAACGGCUCACCAAGUCUACGAUCAGUAGCCGGACUGAGAGGUCGAUCGGCCACAUUGGGACUGAGACACGGCCCAGACUCCUACGGGAGGCAGCAGUGGGGGAUAUUGGUCAAUGGGGGAAACCCUGAACCAGCGACGCCGCGUGAGGGAAGAAGGUUAUUUGAUUGUAAACCUCUGUCGUCAGGGAAGAAAAUGACGGUACCUGACAAGGAAGCACCGGCUAACUACGUG